GACGAACGCUGGCGGCGUGCCUAAUACAUGCAAGUAGAACGCUGAAGAGAGGAGCUUGCUUUUCUUGGAUGAGUUGCGAACGGGUGAGUAACGCGUAGGUAACCUGCCUUGUAGCGGGGGAUAACUAUUGGAAACGAUAGCUAAUACCGCAUAACAAUGGAUGACCCAUGUCAUUUAUUUGAAAGGGGCAAAUGCUCCACUACAAGAUGGACCUGCGUUGUAUUAGCUAGUAGGUGAGGUAACGGCUCACCUAGGCGACGAUACAUAGCCGACCUGAGAGGGUGAUCGGCCACACUGGGACUGAGACACGGCCCAGACUCCUACGGGAGGCAGCAGUAGGGAAUCUUCGGCAAUGGGGGCAACCCUGACCGAGCAACGCCGCGUGAGUGAAGAAGGUUUUCGGAUCGUAAAGCUCUGUUGUAAGUCAAGAACGAGUGUGAGAGUGGAAAGUUCACACUGUGACGGUAGCUUACCAGAAAGGGACGGCUAACUACGUGCCAGCAGCCGCGGUAAUACGUAGGUCCCGAGCGUUGUCCGGAUUUAUUGGGCGUAAAGCGAGCGCAGGCGGUUUGAUAAGUCUGAAGUUAAAGGCUGUGGCUCAACCAUAGUUCGCUUUGGAAACUGUCAAACUUGAGUGCAGAAGGGGAGAGUGGAAUUCCAUGUGUAGCGGUGAAAUGCGUAGAUAUAUGGAGGAACACCGGUGGCGAAAGCGGCUCUCUGGUCUGUAACUGACGCUGAGGCUCGAAAGCGUGGGGAGCGAACAGGAUUAGAUACCCUGGUAGUCCACGCCGUAAACGAUGAGUGCUAGGUGUUGGAUCCUUUCCGGGAUUCAGUGCCGCAGCUAACGCAUUAAGCACUCCGCCUGGGGAGUACGACCGCAAGGUUGAAACUCAAAGGAAUUGACGGGGGCCCGCACAAGCGGUGGAGCAUGUGGUUUAAUUCGAAGCAACGCGAAGAACCUUACCAGGUCUUGACAUCCCGAUGCUAUUUCUAGAGAUAGAAAGUUACUUCGGUACAUCGGUGACAGGUGGUGCAUGGUUGUCGUCAGCUCGUGUCGUGAGAUGUUGGGUUAAGUCCCGCAACGAGCGCAACCCCUAUUGUUAGUUGCCAUCAUUCAGUUGGGCACUCUAGCGAGACUGCCGGUAAUAAACCGGAGGAAGGUGGGGAUGACGUCAAAUCGUCAUGCCCCUUAUGACCUGGGCUACACACGUGCUACAAUGGUUGGUACAACGAGUUGCGAGUCGGUGACGGCAAGCUAAUCUCUUAAAGCCAAUCUCAGUUCGGAUUGUAGGCUGCAACUCGCCUACAUGAAGUCGGAAUCGCUAGUAAUCGCGGAUCAGCACGCCGCGGUGAAUACGUUCCCGGGCCU
rnacentral:rRNA from 1 species